GUCACAUAGAGAAUAUUCUUAAAGAAACUCAGUGUGUGUGAUCUCCAUGGAGAGAGCCUGUGAACCCUGGAGAAGGAAGAAUCUCUCUUUGCUACGUAUCUUUUGUACUCUUUAUGCUUUCUCAUGAGCGUGUAUUAUUUUAUAAAUAAAAAUGAGAUUCAGUGCUUUAACAAAAAUUAUUAAUGAAAAAUGGCAGAAAUUGUAUACUAGGAGAUAGAAGAAAGUAGUGCUAGUUAGGGGGAGUAUUAGAUGAAAUUUUCUUAAAAGUUCAAACAUUUGAAUCAUGCUUUAGUCAUAGAAACAUGACCUCAGGCAAGAAAGUGUAAGGUAUCUCAGGGCUACGUGAGAUGUUUAUUUCCAGCAUUUUGUUUCAAUACUAUGAAAGUGAAAGUUGCUCAGUCAUGUCCGACUCUGCGACUGAAUAGUCCAUGGAAUUCUCCAGGCAAGAAUACUGGAGUGGGUAGCCUUUCCCGUCUCCAGCAGAUCUUCCCAACCCAGGGAUCAAACCCAGGUCUCCUGAAUUGCAGGUAGAUUCUUUACCAGCUGAGCCAUAGGGGAAGCCCCUAAACUGUACUGCUAGGGGAAUAGGUGGUUCUAAUUAAUAUAACUUUCAGAGUAAUAAAAUUAAGCAAAAAUCAUUUUUAUUCCAUCUUCUAUAGAAUACCUUUUUAAAAAGGUAGCUCUACUUGCCUACCUUAUUAAAUUUCAUAUCAGAAGAUAAUUGAAGUCUUUCAUUGUGCUGGAGAUUAAGAAAGCAUGCACAGAUGGGGCAGCUGUAGGGUAAGGGAGUUCGAGGAGGCGAGUUUUAUCUCUUAAACGGCUGGGACAAGGAAUCCUGGAGAUCAGCCAGAGGCUGGACCGGCUGGGAGCUGGGUGUAAUCAACCUUAAUGUCCAUUUUUUUUUCCCCUUCGGGUGAGAGAGUUCUCUGUUUUGCUUAGAAUGGUGAGGAGGACCUGGAGGGGAGUUUUAACUCCAGGCUAUUUUGAGCCGUCUAAGUUUCCUUCAGCAGCCAUGACAUUCCUAGUUUUUAUUUGUUCC
ensembl:lncRNA